rnacentral:rRNA from 1 species
UACGUAGGCACCAAGCGUUGUCCGGAUUUAUUGGGCGUAAAGAGCUCGUAGGCGGUUCGGUAAGUCGGGUGUGAAAACUCUGGGCUCAACCCAGAGAGGCCACCCGAUACUGCCGUGACUGGAGUGCGGUAGGGGAGUGCGGAAUUCCCGGUGUGAGCGGUGAAAUGCGCAGAUAUCGGGAGGAACACCAGUGGCGAAGGCGGCACUCUGGGCCGGAACUGGACGCUGAGGAGCGAAAAGCGUGGGGGAGCGAACAGG